UACGUAGGGUCCGAGCGUUGUCCGGAAUUAUUGGGCGUAAAGGGCUCGUAGGCGGUUUGUCGCGUCGGGAGUGAAAACACGGGGCUUAACCCCGUGCCUGCUUCCGAUACGGGCAGACUAGAGGUAUGCAGGGGAGAACGGAAUUCCUGGUGUAGCGGUGAAAUGCGCAGAUAUCAGGAGGAACACCGGUGGCGAAGGCGGUUCUCUGGGCAUUACCUGACGCUGAGGAGCGAAAGUGUGGGGAGCGAGCAGG
rnacentral:rRNA from 1 species